ensembl:misc_RNA Metazoa_SRP Metazoan signal recognition particle RNA
GCUGGGCGUGGUAGAGCAUGCCUGUAAUCCCAGCUACUUGGGAGGCUGAGGCAGGAGAAUUGCUUGAACCCAGGAGUUGGAGGUUGCAGUUAGCCGAGAUUGUGCCACUGCGCUCCAGCCUGGGCAACAGAGCAAGACUCCGUCUCAA